UGGUGCCAGCAGCCGCGGUAAUUCCAGCUCCAAUAGCGUAUAUUAAAGUUGUUGCAGUUAAAAAGCUCGUAGUUGGAUUUCGGGACGGGCCGGCCGGUCCGCCGCAAGGCGUGUUACUGACCGGGCUGUUCUUCUUCGCAAAGACUGCAUGUGCUCUUAACUGAGUGUGUGUAGGACUUGUGACGUUUACUUUGAAAAAAUUAGAGUGUUCAAAGCAGGCCAGCGCUUGAAUACAUAAGCAUGGAAUAAUGGAAUAGGACUUUGGUUCUAUUUUGUUGGUUUCUGGAACCGAAGUAAUGAUUAAAAGGGACAGUUGGGGGCAUUCGUAUUUCGUUGUCAGAGGUGAAAUUCUUGGAUUUACGAAAGACGAACUACUGCGAAAGCAUUUGCCAAGAAUGUUUUCAUUAAUCAAGAACGAAAGUUAGAGGA
rnacentral:rRNA from 1 species